UAACUUCCCCAAGCUCUAUUACCUAUCCCAAUACUUUGGCUGAGCAAUUUUAGAAGUUUCUCUCCUUGCAGCCACAAGCAAUGUCUGCUUCUUCUUCCAUAGGAUCUGCAGUCUUAGAAGCUGAUUGGGACAGGCCGUAGGGAGAAUGGACUAUAUAUUUUGGAUGAGUUAAAAAUGCCAGUUGCUACUGCCGCCGCUGCUACUACUACUGUUGAUUUGUCUUCCUUUUGUUUAAGUCUUUCAUCUUCUAGUUUUUAUUUAUGGCAUUCCCGUCUAGGUCAUGUUUCGUCUUCUCGUUUGAGAUUUUUGGCAUCCUCAGGAGCUUUAGGAAAUUUAAAAACUUAUGACAUUUCUGAUUGUAGUGGAUGUAAACUGGCAAAAUUUUAUGCUUUACCUUUUAAUCGAAGUAUUUCUGUUUCUUCUUCA